CGCGUAGGCGGCAUUACAAGUGUCGGGUGAAAUCCCACGGCUCACCCGUGGAACUGCCCGGCAAACUGUAAGGCUAGAGUGUGGUAGGGGAGAGCAGAACUCAUGGUGGAGCGGUGAAAUGCGUAGAUAUCAUGAGGAAUACCGGUGGCGAAGGCGGCUCUCUGGUCCACAACUGACGCUGAGGUGCGAAAGCUAGGGUAGCGAACAGGAUUAGAUACCCUGGUAGUC
rnacentral:rRNA from 1 species